rnacentral:rRNA from 1 species
UACGUAGGGGGCAAGCGUUGUUCGGAUUCACUGGGCGUAAAGGGUGCGUAGGCGGUCGGGUAAGUCUGAUGUGAAAUCUCACAGCUUAACUGUGAAACUGCAUUGGAUACUAUCCGGCUCGAGGAAUGGAGGGGAGACUGGAAUACUUGGUGUAGCAGUGAAAUGCGUAGAUAUCAGGAGGAACACCGGUGGUGUAGACGGCUCUCUGGACCAUAACUGACGCUGAGACACGAAAGCGUGGGUAGCAAACAGG